rnacentral:rRNA from 1 species
UACGGAGGAUGCGAGCGUUAUCCGGAUUUAUUGGGUUUAAAGGGUGCGUAGGCGGUUUCUUAAGUCAGCGGUAAAAUUUCUGCGCUCAACGCAGUCUGGCCGUUGAAACUGGGAGACUUGAGUCUGGAUGAAGUGGGCGGAAUUUGUAGUGUAGCGGUGAAAUGCAUAGAUAUUACGAGGAACUCCAAUUGCGCAGGCAGCUCACUAAACCAUCACUGACGCUGAAGCACGAAAGCGUGGGUAUCAAACA